rnacentral:lncRNA from 1 species
GGGCCAACCUUUUUAAUUUUUUUUUUCUUUAAGAUAAAGAAAAAAGGAAAGUCUUCCCGAAAGAACUUUAGAUCAACAGGUUUCAACUUUUCCACGGUCGAAGUCCUUGGAAUUUGCCACGCACUUCGGAGCGAUUGCAACGCUGGGGCCCUUGGCGCGCUGCCAGCAGGGCUCCAGCUCCCGUGGCCCCAAGCACCCCCGCUGCCCCCUGCGUUGGCCCCGCCGGUCCCCAAGACACACCUGAACCACAGUCUGUCUGCAAGUGAGCUGUGCAGGACCUGGCGAAGACGGUGGGAAGAUGCUGAUGACAACCACACACCCAAAGGCCUGACUCGCGCUCGACGGAUGGGCUUCGCUCUUUCCGCCCCCGAUGGGAUCCCGCUUUGCCCGACGCCGGGAGGUUCCUAUUUCGAAUUUCGAGCAACUACUGAUAAAGAUGAUCAUGAUCACUAAGAACUUUAAAUGUGACCGAGAAAAUUAGUUUGGUCUGAAGUUCAAUUCUCUCCUCUCACCGCUGAAUUUUUUGGCGUGCUGGCACGGCCCUAGGUCUGUCCCCUCCCGCUGUAACAAAACUCUAUUCACCCUUGCACAGCACGCCCUGGCGUCUGCGGACUUGGUAUCCGACACUCGGCAGAGCCUGCUCCCCGGCCGGUGCGUGCAGGACCAGGGGCCUCGCAGCGCCCACCCGGGCGGCAUCGGGGGCGCCCCGGGGUCGGUGGAGGACGCCCACCCGCCCUUCCCGCCCCCACCCCGAGGGCGGAGGAGACAGUACCCCCUUCCUGUCCCCCAACUGCUUUGGUAACUCACGGUGACAUUCUCUGAAACUGCACAGAGUCCGAGCCUUUGGCUUCCUGUGCAUCACCCUCAAGGGGUCAUCUGUGGGUCAGGCGUUUUCGCCGCGGCCUGAUUUCCUGCCCUCUCUUUCCCGGCAGCCAGGGGGUGUUUAUUUUGGUUGGUUCCCUGCUACCUUUCUCACUUGCCAGUCGCUAAGGGCGCUCGGGGCCUUUCCCGGUCUCGGGGCGGAAUAAAGUUCCAGCGCAGUUAGCCCGAGUUCCCGCGGCCGGCGGCGGCCCUUUGCCGGGCGAAACCAGGCGGCGGGAGCGCACUCGAGCGAGGAGAGGGAGCCUAGGCCGUGCCUGAGGGCGGCGACGGUUAAGCCGCUAAGCAGCCGCCAGGCAGAUGCGUUUGCAUUGCCCGGUCAGAUGGGUGCAGCGCUCAGAGCCUGACAACUUCCCAGAGGCAAUCGGCAGAAGCUGGCGAGAGCGCAGACCUUCGCCGCCACCGCUCCCCGACGGUUGCUACAAGGCCCGCGUUUAGAGCUUCUAUGAAUCCCCCCCGCGGCUUCCCAAAGCCAAGUCCCCAGGGACUAUGAAGCGGCACCUCCUCCGGGGAGCCCGGGAGGACUUCCCAGAACCACCAGAGAGAGAGAGGGC